rnacentral:rRNA from 1 species
GCGUUGUUCGGAAUUACUGGGCGUAAAGGGCUCGUAGGCGGCCAACUAAGUCGGAUGUGAAAUCCCCAAGCUUAACUUGGGAACUGCAUCCGAUACUGGAUGGCUUGAAUCCGGGAGAGGGAUGCAGAAUUCCAGGUGUAGCGGUGAAAUGCGUAGAUAUCUGGAGGAAUACCGGUGGCGAAGGCGGCAUCCUGGACCGGCAUUGACGCUGAGGAGCGAAAGCUAGGGGAGCAAACGGG